AUUGAACGCUGGCGGCAUGCCUUACACAUGCAAGUCGAACGGCCGCACGGGUGCUUGCCCCUGGUGGCGAGUGGCGCACGGGUGAGUAAUACAUCGGAACAUGUCCUGUAGUGGGGGAUAGCCCGGCGAAAGCCGGGUUAAUACCGCAUACGAUCUACGGAUGAAAGCGGGGGACCUUCUGGCCUCGCGCUUUGGGGUUGGCCGAUGGCUGAUUAGCUAGUUGGUGGGGUAAAGGCCUACCAAGGCGACGAUCAGUAGCUGGUCUGAGAGGACGACCAGCCACACUGGGACUGAGACACGGCCCAGACUCCUACGGGAGGCAGCAGUGGGGAAUUUUGGACAAUGGGCGAAAGCCUGACCCAGCAAUGCCGCGUGUGUGAAGAAGGCCUUCGGGUUGUAAAGCACUUUUGUCCGGAAAGAAAUCCUUGGCCCUAAUACGGUCGGGGGAUGACGGUACCGGAAGAAUAAGCACCGGCUAACUACGUG
rnacentral:rRNA from 1 species